AUAAUCAACGCUGGCCUGCUUUAAUUACUCCUUGUGCGUUUGUUUUAUCGCAGUCGCAGCGCUUCGUUUAUUUUGCAGCGGUUAAGAGGUGUUGGCAGUACUUCAGUAUGAUGCUGCUGAACCGAGUUUGUUACACGCGUAUGUCAGUUAUACUUAGCAAGUAGGAAAUACAAACUUGAGUUCUGCACUGUGAAAGAAAAUGAAAUUAAUAGCUCUUCGUUCCCACCUUGCGGGAGAGAAUUAAUACAGUUGACAUCGUUCCCUUUUUUUUAGAAAAAAAAAAUAGCUCCACACCGCCACCUACAGGAAGCUAUCCAAAAGAACAUCAUUCAACAAAUUUCAGGAAAGAAGUUCAGUAUUUCUCGAUCAAGAAUAUUCGGCGCUGCACGGAUGAAAUUUGCGCGACGCCCAGAAGCCAAGUUCGAACAUUCGAUUAUUCGGUAACAAUGGAAUAAAGAAGCUGCCCCACAAUGCAAUGCAAACACGAAUAUUUGAUUUGGAAUAUACGUUCACAUAGGUUAGUGUGGGGUUUGGAUUUAUCUGUGUGUGGAAUCUUGUCUAUCUACAUGAUUCAUAUCAUAGGAGUGGUCAGCUAUCUAACCUCCAUGCCAAUCAUCGCAUAUUUUAAUACAGUACUGUGGGGUAAAAUGGGAUAAUGUUACCACCCAAAUCCAAUGUUUUCUUAUUGUUUUUUUUUUAACAAAAACAACGUUUUGGACUAGAUAAUAGAAUGAGUGGGUGUCCUAUCUUACCCCACACUACCAUGUAUUAGAUUAGGCCACCUGCCAAUCAAUGUGCCAAAUUAAUCUCACGCAAUUUUCUUCUAAUCACAUCUUAAUUUGUUUUAAUUAAACCAAACGCCAUAUUAAGUUAUUUAUAGUUUAUACCAAUAUAGCGCGUUUUAACGACUGUCGUUUUGCUGCCAAUUCCCUUAACAUCAGUAAAAAAUGACUUCUGUUACGUCACAAUUUACCUUUUCACCUAAAAGAUGUUAAUUUCGACAAUAUGACGUAACAAUUCAAAAUGAUCUACAGUUUCCAUUGGAAUCUCGGGGUUAUGACGUCACAGCAGUCACGAAACGUGGUUGGUUGACUUCAAACACGUGACUUCCGAUAGAAUUGAUGGAUUAUUUCCGCUUAAAAUUGACAAGAGUCCAACAAUGCGAUGUAAAAAGCGAUUUCCGCGUUUUGUGGCGUUGCAUCUUUGCAGCGUAAUACUUUUGUUCCAUUCAAUCCCAAAACUCGAUUGUUGUAUACGCAACAACCGGGCAUUGUGGCGUCAUACAACCACUUUUACACCUCGAUGAGUUAGUUCGCCAUAUAGGUAUCGGUAUUGCCGGCAAUAUUUGCCAAAACUUAGCAAGUAUGCCCAAGUUUACAUAAUUCUCACAAAAGGUAUUCUAAAAGAAUUUAUGACGUCACCAUUUAUUACGUCAGUGGAAAAAUUUUCCCAGGGUAAAAUUUAUUAGGAUGAAGCAUAUUAUGAGGUUCUACUACUAUAACACAUAUGUACCUUUAACGUUUGUUUCCCUGCCACACUUGUGUUCAACAAGCAUACUCGUAUAUAUGGCUGGCAACAACACUGAAAUGCACAUGUACAAAAUACACUAACACCAGUAAACACCACAGCACUGUACAGUGCAUAACAACCAAUGAUCGCACGCAUAAAAACACAAACAUGUGUGAUGGGGAGAGUGGGACACCUUUUCACUCUAUUUUCUCGUUCCAUUUGGUAGCAAACAAAAAAUCAAAGAAUUACAAAACCGUAUCCUUACAACUCCCAUAGACCGUUGUUAACUGUUUAAAACACGAUCAAGAUAUUUGGAUAUUGUGCCAUCUUACAUCACCCCCACAUACAUACUGUGCGUAAAAGUCAACAAAACAUGUCAAUGUACUUACCAACAAACACAUACACCUACAGGCCCGCGCAAGUAACACACACACAUGCAGCAUAACACAAUCCACACACACACACAUAUAAAGGAUUGAGGUAAAACAGUAUGCAAAGUAUUAACGGUAUCUGUCUUACCCAACAGUAAUAUGCAUCAUCAAACACAGUAAACAUAUAUCCAAAUAUAGUGGUUCAAAAGGAAGUAUUUUUGAUAUAAUUUGCCCACGAUCAGGAAAUAUUGGGUACUAUGUGCCUAUGGCAUCCAUCUUACCCCCACCCUACUAUACAUACAUACAUCCAGCAACUGCUAAUAAGGGAAUUGAUUUAAAUGCAAUA